CGGGGAGAUCACUUGUAUGAACAUUACUAGAUGAUGUUCUUUUUAGACUAUACCUUUGUUUUAAUUGCAAUAUAGAGGACGCCUCAAUAAGCUCAUUGCAAGCAUGAAGUGUUGCAAAUAUGGAAUCUCCCCUAGAUACCACACAGUUGUGACAUUCAGAGGGAAACUGUUAUGGUCACUUCUACUCAAUGCUACACUUGGAGUCAUGAUGCAAGGAUUUAACUGGCGGAUUACUACAGAGCCUUGUUGAUUUAUGGUGACAAGAACAUGCCAGUAAUGCCCUGGUGAGCCUCGCAACUGAAGACGAGUUUAUAGAUCAUGGGAAGGAACUCUCACCAGAUGAGGCGGAAAUACAGAAGGCUGUAUUAUUUGCAGGUCCCUUAAUGAACAUCCACCUUUGUGAAGAUCUGCGAAUCUCUGCGACAACAUGUUCGACUCAGGAAACAUCUACUAUGUUGACAAAAACAGCUCCUACCAGUUUGCAUCAGCAAAUCUUCAAGACAUUUCAAAACAAGAGCUUCAGAAAGACCUCAAAUGACAGGUUUUCAGCCCUUCAAAAGGGAUACUCUUCGGAUGAAAACUGGCAUGAUUUGUCUCCCUUGGGUACAAGUUUGCCAUCGCCAGCUGCUGCAGAGAAUCAUGGGAAGGUAAUAAUGGGAAAGAUUAUCUUUCGCAAAUGUCAGCAGUAUCAGAUGUUUCCAUAACUACUGUAAUCAGGACCCAAAAUAAGAAUUGGGCUCACUCUUUUGUGUUCUAUUGUCCAUUUUUAGUCGAUUGGUGCAUUCGUCCAUACUUAAAAACAGGAAUGCAUUUUUAUUCAGAUCAUCUGAUUAUGGAUUAACCUGUUUUCAAAGUUAUUCAAAGUGUUCUAGAGACUUAUUUCAUAUUUUCCUAUGCAAAAUCCAACAGGAGUCCACACCUUGUUUGAAACGACUUAAUAAAUAGCAAAAUGACUCCUCUUCUAAUGAAUAAGCCUAGGAGCUAAGCCUGGAACAUAAUUAUGUAACAUAAUAAAGAUUGUUCAUUAUAACCUUUGGUGUCAAAUUAGAAUUUCAGGAACUACUGAAAAAAUCUCCACGCACAAACUAGAGAUGAUUACGAUUGGCUGUAAUACAUAGAAUAUUGGCUUUUCACAAAUUGUUCAUAGUAUAAUGGCUCUGUGAUUUAAACAAAUAUUUUCAUUACUCAUAAAGACAGAUCGCAACAUGAUUUUGACAAAAUUCUCCCCUGGCAAAAGCACAACCCCACAGCUUUGUAUGCUAUGUCACAUCUUAAAAGAGAAUUUCCACUUAUUCCUAUAUGGUCAAAUCUAGUCUAUUACUUAAGUGUCGUAUUCCUGUUAUAUUUCAUGUCAUAUCAGGUCAGCAUUGUUGGUUUUCUAUAUCCUCUUGUUUGCUGACCUAUUGAAUUAUGAUCAUGUUGUGUGACAUCAAAAAGUUUUGUUCAGAGACCUUUAAAAAACAUUCUACGAAAAUUAUGACAAAAAGAGCCGUAGGCAAUUGAGUACGAUAUUUUUUGGAGAUACUCGGACAGUAACACAUAACUAAAAUCGUUUUAAUACUAUAUGAUUCAGUUUUUAUUAAUUUAUUUGGUAGCUAAUAUCCUACAUUUUCACCAUUGGAAUUUCACUCCUCACUAAGCUGCUUACAAGUUAUAAAUAAGAAACAUUUGAUACUUUUCUUUUAUUAUUGUUUAAUUGAUUUGCAAUGCUAUGAGGUUAAAUUUUGUUUACACUUAUAUGUAUCAUGAAUAUUGCGGGGCCAAGUGUGAGGUUGAGCGUUUUAAACCAGUUUAAACCCCCAAUCAAUGCAUUGCAUCGACUGUUCCAAUGCGACCCAGCUUUAUUCUUCUACGUGUGUACAUUGUUUCGUAUUGUGCUGUUUUGGCAAUUAGUCACGUGCCUUAAUAAAGGACCAACAAAUUGUAUAUAAUUAAUAUGCAAUACUGCUCCAGCAGCUGAAAUUUCACUUCUUUAUAUUCUAUUAACUAUGUUGUUCACUACUAUGUGUUAGUAAAUUAAGUAUUGUGUUAAAAACUUUUUAUUUCUUACAAUGUAUUAAUGUUGAAUUGUGAUGCAUUCACCUCCUAAUAUUUGGUCCUCUUGUUUUGACACUACUUUCAAGUGAACUAUAAUAUAUUGCACUGGAAAGUAGUUUCAAAACAAUAUGUUUUUCCUAAUGAAAUGUCAAUGUGAAAUAUAAUAACACAACUGUCACAUGAAUCCUGUUUUUUUCUUUGUCAUAUAAAUGGUAUUUAUCUGUUUAUUAUGUGCUUUGUAUCUGUUAAUGUUUUACUCACUUUUGAUAUUUAUUCCUCUUUUUUAAGCAUUUUGUUCAAGUUUUAUUGGAAAAUAAUACUUAUCGGAUAGUGUAAGGAAUAAAUGUCGAAUUAUUGUUUUAUGAAAUAGGUAUAGUGGGUUUUUGUUUGUGAUAAUUGUAUAUGCAUUAUGCUUUUAGUGACAUUGCGUUAUAACAUGUUAGUUUUCUUCAUUAGAAUUGAGCAUUAUGUGCUUGGAAAUUGUCUACAUUAUUUGAGCAUAAGUUGCUCUGCCAAUUUUAGGAAUUAUUGAGUGCAAUAUUGUAUCACUUAUGACGAUUUUAGGGUCAUUAAUUCUAAUAGAGCUUUUUAGAUCCAAUGAUAACAUUUAUUAAUAUAAAGCAUUUAAUGACAAACUUCAAAACAUGCCAAAAUCUGUUGCAACGCUUCAUAGUUUUCAGGUUUUUAAAUCAUCAAAAGAUGCAUAUAAUGGGUAUUUUAGAGCAUGAUAAAGGUUCAGUAUUACUGUUUCCUCACAAAUAUCAUAACUAAAACGAAAACGUGCGAAUCUGAAAGAACUUUUUUCAAUUUUGUCAAUUUACCCAAACGUGAAAAGGACCCUUUAAUGUCAAAUUAACAAUUCUUGACUGAAAACCUAUUUUAUUGAGUGAGAUGACAACAUACUUAUAAUAAGUUAAACUUGUUAUUUUGGCUUGUAAAUAUAUGCCUAAGAUUUAAGAAUGUUUCUCAUGCCUAGCCAGAAUAUACCAGGUUGUAUUUAUUUAUUUAACAUUGGUUUAUAAAGUGAUACAUGAUAUUGUUUUACUGAAAGUUAAACUAAAUGAGAUAACGCUGCAAGUACAUUACACAUUUAAGAUUUGUUUAAUUAUUAUGUUCAAAGAAAUCAGUGCAAUGUGCAUAAACUGAAUUUGAAUAAAAACUUAUUUAGAGUAUUUCAGCUGCUUAGGUAUUAAUUUCCUACAAUGUUCAGGUAGAAUUUGGAAAUUAAUAUACAUAAUCAUCCGAACUAAG